AGGCAGAGAGGAGUGCAGCAUGCAACUUAUCCCCUGUGAGUUGAACUCCAAUGCAUGUACUCCUGGCUGGAGUUGGACAUACUGGCUGGGAGAGGCAGGGGCACACCGGGGGACUGCAUCGACUUGGCUACUGAGCAAAGAGAGCUCUUUCUCAUCCCUAAUGGUGUGAGUUACAGCGGUGGACCCUACAGAUUCCCUCACUCCCAGUGCCCACCUUCUCUGGCUCUGAGUUCUAAAGCAGAAUUCUGGCCACUUCUGAACAAUCCCUGCCUUUGUCUUUGAAAAGGAAACCGAACAGCCAAGUUCUAUCUAAUGCAGGACUUAACCCUGGGGGUAUGGGUCCUGGUGAUCAGAGCCACCUCUGAAUGCCUGCCUGCCCGGUUGGCACAGCUUGUUAGCAAAAGUAAGGACUCUGCAGGGCUGCUGGCUCUCCUCCUACACAUCCGGUCUGUACCAGGACCAGCCAGAAUGUUGGCCUCAUCACCACCACCACACUCAGCUGACCAUGAAAGACCACAUCCACACCUGCGAAAUACCGAGGCCAGUGAGAGCCACAACACACUGAAACAACCUUACCAUCACAAACCAAGGAAGACUACAAGUGAGCAAGCUGAAGCUGUUUUUUCUUCAUUUAAUUUCACACCCUCCCCAGAAAAUGAGAACCAAGAUCUGACAUGUAAAGGUACAAGAUCCCAAUGAUGAAUGUAACUGUACUGUAUACUUAAAAAGUAC
rnacentral:lncRNA from 1 species